rnacentral:rRNA from 1 species
CCUACGGGUGGCAGCAGUGAGGAAUAUUGGUCAAUGGACGAGAGUCUGAACCAGCCAAGUAGCGUGAAGGAUGACUGCCCUAUGGGUUGUAAACUUCUUUUAUAUGGGAAUAAAAUGUUCCACGUGUGGGAUUUUGUAUGUACCAUAUGAAUAAGGAUCGGCUAACUCCGUGCCAGCAGCCGCGGUAAUACGGAGGAUCUGAGCCUUAUCCGGAUUUAUUGGGUUUAAAGGGAGCGUAGGUGGAUUGUUAAGUCAGUUGUGAAAGUUUGCGGCUCAACCGUAAAAUUGCAGUUGAAACUGGCAGUCUUGAGUACAGUAGAGGUGGGCGGAAUUCGUGGUGUAGCGGUGAAAUGCUUAGAUAUCACGAAGAACUCCGAUUGCGAAGGCAGUUCACUGGACUGCAACUGACACUGAGGCUCGAAAGUGUGGGUAUCAAACAGGAUUAGAUACCCCAGUAGUC